rnacentral:rRNA from 1 species
CAGCAGCCGCGGGAAUACCGAGGGUGCGAGCGUUAAUCGGAUUUACUGGGCGUAAAGCGUGCGUAGGCGGCUUUUUAAGUCGGAUGUGAAAUCCCUGAGCUUAACUUAGGAAUUGCAUUCGAUACUGGGAAGCUAGAGUAUGGGAGAGGAUGGUAGAAUUCCAGGUGUAGCGGUGAAAUGCGUAGAGAUCUGGAGGAAUACCGAUGGCGAAGGCAGCCAUCUGGCCUAAUACUGACGCUGAGGUACGAAAGCAUGGGGAGCAAACAGGAUUAGAUACCCCUGUAGUCCCUGUCUCUUAUAC